rnacentral:rRNA from 1 species
UGGGGAAUAUUGGACAAUGGGGGCAACCCUGAUCCAGCAAUGCCGCGUGUGUGAAGAAGGUCUUCGGAUUGUAAAGCACUUUCGACGGGGACGAUGAUGACGGUACCCGUAGAAGAAGCCACGGCUAACUUCGUGCCAGCAGCCGCGGUAAUACGAAGGGGGCUAGCGUUGCUCGGAAUGACUGGGCGUAAAGGGCGUGUAGGCGGUUUGUACAGUCAGAUGUGAAAUCCCCGGGCUUAACCUGGGAGCUGCAUUUGAUACGUGCAGACUAGAGUGUGAGAGAGGGUUGUGGAAUUCCCAGUGUAGAGGUGAAAUUCGUAGAUAUUGGGAAGAACACCGGUGGCGAAGGCGGCAACCUGGCUCAUUACUGACGCUGAGGCGCGAAAGCGUGGGGAGCAAACAGG